GAAACUCCAUGGUGUUCCAUAUAAUAGCUGAAGGGGUUCUAACACGUUCCGCAAGAGCAAGCAUUUCUGUUGCAACUUCUGUAGGUGUAUCAUUAAAAGGUAAAUCCUUGUACCUGAGGGGAUGGAGCUCUGGAACAAGCUCCUGCAGCAUCGAAUCUGUGUUGUAGAGUGGUAAAAAAGUGAUACAUAAAGGUUACUAUUAUAUUUAUAUACACCGACAUAUCUACAGUUAAAAGGUAAAGUACUAACUAACCUUGAACAGGAAGUUUCCCUUCUGCAUGUAGCCGAGGAAGAGCAAGGAAAGCCGGCAUAUACGAUGCACUACAACUGCGCAAAACAAUGCUACGAAGAUUCAAAUUGCUAGCAACUUCUUCAGCAAAAUACAUGAUAUUGUCGUGUAUGACUGUGAUCGUAUGAUUCAUUUCAUCUUUUCCUUCUUCAAUCUUUCGAGUCAAGUGAUCUUGAAGCUGCAUUUUGCAGUUAUUGUUAAGAGCUUCAAGGAACUUUGUGUAGUUGGCGGACGCAUCAAUGGCUGAAAAGUUGUCAGAAAGAGUAAGGAAGACGAAUUCAGGAUGGUUAGAAGGAUCAGGGGAGUUUAAUUUGGUAUGGGCUAAGGUUAUUGAGAAGCCUUUGGAAUGAAGGACACUGCCGAGCUGAAGCAUAGGCGUCAUGUGACCUUGAAAUGGACUUGCUACCAGUACCAAAGGUUUCCCUCUCUUUCUCUCAUCUCCCAUCAUUCUUCCUAUUGCCUACUAGCUACUUAAACUUUAAUCCCUUGCAAUUAUAUUUAUAUGAAAAAAAAAGUCAACAAUAAGAGAGAUUUAUGUCUUUAUCAGGUACACGGUAUUAGGUCGUUGAUAGCAUAUUUAGCAGCUUGUUAAAGCUGAAAAGAAAUGGUUGAAAAAACAUGCUUUAGAUAGUAUAUAUUAACAAUGCAUGUAUAAAUUGAUUUCAAAAUAAGAACACUUAUUGUAAACAAGUAAGCCAAUGACUAAUAUUUUUUAAAUUACAUUAUAUAUAUAUAUAUAUAUAUAUACAUAUAUANUAUAUACAUUAUUUUGUUUUUACAAACUAUUGUGUGACAGAAUGUACAGAUCUAGAACAACGGAUGAAAUUAAUCAAGGGACAUGAUUUGAGGGUGUAUGAUACUACAAUGAGAUAAUAUUUAUCAUAUAAUCACGUAAAUUUUAGCAAUUGGGUAUUUUGGACAAUUAACUAUAUUUAUAAAAGAAAAUUUUUGGAUUUUCAGGGAUAAUAAAUUCUCUUAGUUUUAAAAAUCUGAUUUUUUUUUCAUUAAUUCAAUUUUAAUUCUAAAGUAAUUUGUAAACAUAAUCAAUUUUAUUCUGUCAAAAUAUUUUUUUGUUAGAAUGAGGUUCUUUCGAGAAUUUUAUUCUAUUAGAAUAUUAUUGAAGAAUAACAAAAUUCUUGAAUCCGAGGUUGAAAAAUAACAACAUUCUAAUAUAUUUUUAUACAUCUGAACUUAAAUACAAAUUUUGCAUAUUCUUACAAACUAAAAGCCUUAUACAUUUUAAUAUAAUUGUACAUAUUCUAAAAGAAUAUCAACAAAAUGAAUAAAAUUCUUAAAAAAUAACAACAUUCCUAAAUUGUGUGUAUGAUCAAACUUUAUUCAUUCUUCAAGUUAUUCCUAUUAGGUCUUCAAUGCAUUCUUCCAGCCAUUCCUAUCACAAAUACAAUAAAAACUAAUAAUGGUUAAAAACAUGUUACUUGCAAUUAACUAUCACUUUAUAUAUUCUAGUAGAAUAAAUAGAAUAUGACAGAAUACGUAGAAUACAUUAUGAUAGAAAGACACAGAUUUUAUUCUGGCAUAAUACAUUCUGACAGAAUAUAUAGAAUACAUUCAAGCCAUUCAUAUCACAAAUGCAACAAAAACAUCAAAUCUAACAAUAAAUAUUAAUUCAUUCUGAAAGAAUACAAACAUUUUGAAAGAAUGGAUUUAUAUAAAUAAAUUAUGAUAGGAUACACACAAAUUCAUUCACACCUCAUACUCAACUUUCACAUCAUAAUAGACUAAUUUCUUCUAAAAAACAACACUAGUUGGGUUUUUUAUACAUUGCAAGAGAGAAAAAGUAAAAAACAAAUAGUAAUGGUAUCAUAUUGAGAAUGAAUUAGUCAAUUACCGGGAAUUUGGCUUGAAACCUCUCUUAUGCAUUCUAUCGAACACAUUCUAUACAUUAUCACAUACUUCUGUGUAAAAGAAAAAACACCAACAAAGGAGAAGCUCAAUACACAUAUACAGGGUAAAAGGAACCAACAACAAAAACCAUACUAUAACUCCAGGAAAACCCCACCACACUACCACUAACCAGCAACAAACAAUUGCACACAAGCCAAAGAACCAACAACACAACAAAAAAAACACCACAUGUAAAAAGGUCAACCACCCUGAAAACCAUUCCGGACAACAAGAAUCGCAGAGGAGCCCCAGCAAAACAAAAGCAGACAGUUACGAAUCGAGCCAAUCAAAACUCAAACUUAGGGAAACUCCAUGAAAUAGAAAUGCAUAGGAAGAAUCCAUAGAAACAACCACAUAAAUAUGACCUGAUGUGGAAUAAAGAAAAAAACAACAAAAACAAUCAAAUUUAUUGAAAAGCUAAGUGAUUUGAAAUCAUGAAGAAAAAAUAAAACUGUUUAAAAAAAAUACAAAAGAUGUCAACUUUUGAUUGAAGAUUAAGAUGUGAGAUUGGCUAAUUAUUUCUACUUUUUUACCUGAGAAGAUGAAGACCGAUAGAGGAGGGUGGUCGCUUGAUGACGGUGGUGGGUCAUCACCGCAAACAUGAGGGGGAGGCGUUGCUGGAGAUGAGGCAUUGAUUGAAUGUUUCUGUAGUCGAAGGGGAGAGUCGUUGGAGGAAGAAGAUCUGUAGAUGCAAAUGAAUGGCAGGGGUUAUUUUUAGGUUUUUAAAAUACUGAUUUUAUUUCCUUAAUUAUAGGAUUAAAUUAAAUGACCUCAUUAAUUGUAAAUACAAAAAACUAAAAAUGCCC
rnacentral:lncRNA from 1 species